rnacentral:rRNA from 1 species
GAUGAACGCUGGCGGCGUGCCUAAUACAUGCAAGUCGAGCGAACGGACGAGAAGCUUGCUUCUCUGAUGUUAGCGGCGGACGGGUGAGUAACACGUGGAUAACCUACCUAUAAGACUGGGAUAACUUCGGGAAACCGGAGCUAAUACCGGAUAAUAUUUAGAACCGCAUGGUUCAAAAGUGAAAGACGGUCUUGCUGUCACUUAUAGAUGGAUCCGCGCUGCAUUAGCUAGUUGGUAAGGUUACGGCUUACCAAGGCAACGAUGCAUAGCCGACCUGAGAGGGUGAUCGGCCACACUGGAACUGAGACACGGUCCAGACUCCUACGGGAGGCAGCAGUAGGGAAUCUUCCGCAAUGGGCGAAAGCCUGACGGAGCAACGCCGCGUGAGUGAUGAAGGUCUUCGGAUCGUAAAACUCUGUUAUUAGGGAAGAACAUAUGUGUAAGUAACUGUGCACAUCUUGACGGUACCUAAUCAGAAAGCCACGGCUAACUACGUG